rnacentral:rRNA from 1 species
CAGCAGCCGCGGGAAUACGUAGGGUGCAAGCGUUGUCCGGAAUUAUUGGGCGUAAAGAGCUCGUAGGCGGUUUGUUGCGUCGGCUGUGAAAUCCCGAGGCUCAACCUCGGGUCUGCAGUCGAUACGAGCAAACUAGAGUGUUGCAGGGGAGACUGGAAUUCCUGGUGUAGCGGUGAAAUGCGCAGAUAUCAGGAGGAACACCGGUGGCGAAGGCGGGUCUCUGGGCAACAACUGACGCUGAGGAGCGAAAGCGUGGGGAGCGAACAGGAUUAGAUACCCCGGUAGUCCCUGUCUCUUAUAC